GUUCCCCUUGAACGAGGAAUUCCUAGUAAGCGCAAGUCAUCAGCUUGUGCUGAUUACGUCCCUGCAAAAUGUACACACCGCCCGUCGCUUUUACCGAUUGAGUGUUCGGGUGAGCCUUCUCGAUAGUUGCAAAACUAAAAAUUAAGCAAACCUUAACACUUAGAGGAAAAAGAAGUCGUAGCAAGGUUUCCGUAGGUGAACCUGCGGAAGGAU
rnacentral:rRNA from 1 species